GACGAACGCUGACGGUGUGCUUUAGACAUGCAAGUCGAACGAGAAAGCCCUUCGGGUUAGUAAAGUGGCGAACGGGUGAGUAACACGUGGGCAAUCUGCCCCUCGCAGGGGGACGAACCGGAGGAAACUCCGGCUAAUACCCCGUAAGUUCAAAGGGAGGCAUCUCUCUUCGAAGAAAGGUAGCUUCGGCCAUCCGGCGAGGGAUGAGCCCGCGGUGCAUUAGCUGGUUGGUGGGGUAACGGCCUACCAAGGCGACGAUGCAUAGCUGGUCUGAGAGGAUGAUCAGCCACACUGGGACUGAGACACGGCCCAGACUCCUACGGGAGGCAGCAGUCGGGAAUCUUGCGCAAUGGGCGAAAGCCUGACGCAGCAACACCGUGUGUGUGAGGAA
rnacentral:rRNA from 1 species